rnacentral:rRNA from 1 species
CCUACGGGAGGCAGCAGUGGGGAAUAUUGCACAAUGGGGGAAACCCUGAUGCAGCGACGCCGCGUGAAUGAAGAAGUACUUCGUUACGUAAAGCUCUAUCAGCAGGGAAGAAAAUGACGGUACCUGUGUCAUAACCCACGGAUAACUACGGCCCAGAAGCCGCGGUAAUACGGAGGGGGCAAGCGUUAACCGGAUUUACUGGGUGAAAAGGGAACGGAGACGGUGCGCCAAGUCUGUCGUGAAAUGCCGCAGCUUAACUGUGGAACUGCUUUGGAUACUGGCAAACUAGAGUGCCGUAGGGGUAGGCAGAAUUCCUGGUGUAGCGGUGAAAUGCGUAGAUAUCAGGAGGAACACCAGUGGCGAAGGCGGCUUACUGGAC